CACACACACACACACACACACGUACGUACCCAGGAAGCCAUCUGUAAGGACGUCUUCAGCUCGCUGCUGAUGGUGAACAUGAGCAAGCAGAGCAGGAUCCAGCUGAUGCUGAUGCCCAGGUAGCCGCUCAGGUACACCGGGUAGAUGACCACCAGGACCCGGCCGAGGUAGAUCAGGAACUCCAUCAUGAUGCGGUUGACGGCGGACGGGGUCAGGCUCUCUGCGCUGCCGGGGACCGCGCCGUUCUCCUGCGCGCCCGGACGCGCCAGCGCCGGGGAGGCCAUUCCGCUGAGGUUCCGCUGCGCGGUUCUGGGCUCCGGGGAAAGUUCUUGGGCUCUGGGCCGUGCCGACUGGAUGACAGCACGGAGCGUUGCUUCAGUCCGCAGGAGAACCACCGCCUGCCUGGAAACUUCCGUGUUUUUGACUGACGAAAAGCAGGUAGACACACCUGCAGCCUGACACACCUUCAGCCAUGGCUGGAAAAACCGGAUUCCUGUAAAAAAAAAAAAGAAAAAAAAAACAAUGGA